GCCCUUCAAGAGGGUGCUCAUGAACUGCUCAUAGGUGGCGGCUGCACAGAGGCCUUACUCAAACACAAGAGCCCAAAUGGAGCAAACUUGCAUCUAUGAGCAGCUCAUGACAACCUUCUGAAGGGC
rnacentral:pre_miRNA from 1 species